rnacentral:rRNA from 1 species
GGGGGAAUAUUGCACAAUGGGCGAAAGCCUGAUCCAGCCAUGCCGCGUGUGUGAAGAAGGUCUUCGGAUUGUAAAGCACUUUAAGUUGGGAGGAAGGGCAUUAACCUAAUACGUUAGUGUUUUGACGUUACCGACAGAAUAAGCACCGGCUAACUCUGUGCCAGCAGCCGCGGUAAUACAGAGGGAGCAAGCGUUAAUCGGAAUUACUGGGCGUAAAGCGCGCGUAGGUGGUUUGUUAAGUUGGAUGUGAAAUCCCCGGGCUCAACCUGGGAACUGCAUUCAAAACUGACUGACUAGAGUAUGGUAGAGGGUGGUGGAAUUUCCUGUGUAGCGGUGAAAUGCGUAGAUAUAGGAAGGAACACCAGUGGCGAAGGCGACCACCUGGACUAAUACUGACACUGAGGUGCGAAAGCGUGGGGAGCAAACA